rnacentral:ncRNA from 1 species
AAAGAUACUUGCGUCCGGUCGAUCGGUCGAGCGUUGAAGCGGGGAAGAACCCGUGAGCCGUCGCAACCAAAGAGGGCGCCUCGGUGAGAACCACGGAGAGGUGAAAAACCUAUGA